rnacentral:RNase_P_RNA from 3 species
UAAGUUGACCGGGUGAUCGCAACUAUUAUUAUAGUUGAGGAAAGUCCGAGCUCCAUAGGGUAGGAUGCUGGAUAACGUCCAGUGGAGGUGACUCCCAGGAAAGUGCCACAGAAAUAAACCGCCUGUUAAUUUUUUAGCAGGUAAGGGUGAAAAGGUGAGGUAAGGGCUCACCAGUGUUCAGGUGACUGAACUGCUAGGUAAACCCCAUCUGGAGAAAGUCCAAAUAGAGAGAACUAAGGUGGCCCGCCUGUUCUCCGGGUAAGGACGCUGGAGAUAUCAGGUAACUGAUAUCUUAGAUAGAUGAUCAUCCCAGACAGAACUCGGCUUACAGGUCAACUUAUUCU